UACGUAGGGUGCGAGCGUUUGUCCGGAAUUACUGGGCGUAAAGAGCUCGUAGGUGGUUUGUCGCGUUUGUUCGUGAAAACCGGGGGCUUAACCCUCGGCGUGCGGGCGAUACGGGGCAGACUGGAGUACUGCAGGGGAGACUGGAAUUCCUGGUGUAGCGGUGGAAUGCGCAGAUAUCAGGAGGAACACCGGUGGCGAAGGCGGGUCUCUGGGCAGUAACUGACGCUGAGGAGCGAAAGCGUGGGGAGCGAACAGG
rnacentral:rRNA from 1 species